GCAUGUCAGUUAGACUGGAGCAGUCGGUUGUGCGGCCGCCAGACAGAGCAGAGACUGUCAAGGAUAGCGUGCGGUCAUGUCCCGGAAUUCGUCAUUAUAAAUCAAACCAUGUAACCAGAGUAAAAUACUCAGAUGUCCGGAUACGUACUACCAGUUCUAAUCCUGUUGCACCGCUUCUCAGUUCCGGAAGGUUUAAUUCUCGAAGGACCAACUUUUGUGGAAGAGCCACCGGGACACGUGGGUUUUAUCAACACCCAAGGUACUGAGAUACGAUGUAGAGCCCAAGGUUUACCUGCACCGUCAGUUCAGUGGUUGUUGCAGGAUAGCAGACCCGUGUCUCCUGUGCCUCAAUUGUUAGAAGUCAAGGAAGACGGCACUUUAGUUUUUCUUCCCUUUCUAACAGAGGAUUAUAGAUCAGAGAUCCAUGAUACUAUAUAUCGUUGCACCGCCAGAAACGUCAUAGGGGUUGUUAGUAGCAGAGAAGUCAGGCUAAGAGCAGCUUUAAUGCAAGAUUAUGAAGUACAAGUGUAUGAUCAGUAUGCGAUUUAUGGUACAACAACUGUGUUUCGCUGUCACGUAAAGAGUCCAAUUCGAGAUUACAUUCGUGUUACAGAAUGGAAGAUAAAUGAUAACUUAACAAUCACUGCAUCAGAAACAGAACCGAAUGUUGUGGAUAAAUAUGUUGCUUUCCCAACUGGAGAAUUACACGUGCAUCAAGUAACGCAUUCCGAUGGGCAUUCGAAAUUUAAGUGUAAAACUGUUCAUAAAUUGACUGGAGAUCGGAAAAUCAGUAAAGCUGGAGGACGUAUUGUCGUCACAGAACCUGUUGGAGGAAUGUCACCAAAAAUUAUUCAUAGUAAACCAAAAGUAUGGGCUACUCACGGCCAAACUGUGAUGCUACCCUGCGCUGCUCAAGGUCAACCUCCACCGAAUUAUACAUGGGUCAGGAAAGAGAAAGGCAGAAACACUAUGAAAAACAGGAUCCAACAGAGCAUUCACGGCACUUUAAAAAUCCCAGGAGUUAUAGCCGCUGAUAGCGGCCGUUAUAUAUGCUACGUUAAUAACAGCCAAGGUACAGAUACAGCAGAAACUGAACUGGUAGUCACAGUACCUGUAAAGGUGAAUAUAGAUCCGCAUCGUUUGGUAGUAUUAACUGGAGAAUCUGCAACUUUGACGUGUAACCAAGUGGGACAUCCCAUAGAUUCAGUGCUGUGGAUGAAAGAUUUACAUCACUUGACAGAAGAUGGACGAGUUCAAUUCGUAGGUCGAAAUGUUCUACACAUUCCAAUUGUAUGGAAGAAAGAUCAAGGAAUGUACCAGUGUUUCGUUUAUAGUUCGGGUACGACCGAACAGGCCAUUGCUCAACUAACCGUCGGGGACAUAGGUCCUGUGUUGCACGACACAUUCGGAGAGAGAAUUGUGCAUCCGGGUCAAUCUGUCAGCUUCCGGUGUAUGGCUUCCGGCCACCCCCUACCGGAAAUCACCUGGUACGUGAACAGACAACCAAUCGUCAAUGAGGAAAACUUGAAAGUAAGCGAUUAUGUCACAUCCCAAGGCCAAGUUGUCAGUAUGAUCAAUUUGACAGACGUCACUGUCAAUGACAGCGGUCUUUAUGAAUGCAUGGCUCAAAGCAGUGUUGGUAGAGCCAAUCAUGUAGCUAGAUUAAAUGUCUAUGGACCUCCAGGGAUUCGCCCAAUGGCUAAUGUCACUGUUAUAGAAGGUCAGAAUCUAUAUUUGGAAUGCCCCGUGACGGGUUAUCCUUUGGAUUCUAUUACGUGGGAAAAAGGUGGAAUCGAGCUUCCUCUAGCUAGAAGACAUUACACGUAUCCCAACGGUACUUUAUUGGUGCAAGAAGUACAGAAAGAUUACGAUCAGGGAUCUUAUACAUGCGUCGUUCGUAGUCAAGGAAUAUCUCAAAAGAGAUCGGUAGCAGUAAUUAUUACAAAGCCACCGAAAAUAAUCCCUUUCGAAACUCCGCGUGUACGUGAAGGUACAUUAGUGGUUCUGACGUGUGCCAUUAAUCAAGGCGAUCCACCUUUUGAUUUGCAAUGGUUCAAGAAUGGGCAAUCGGUAAUUGCAGAAAUUGGAUUGACUGUUCAAAGACACGAUAUGUUUUCUAUUUUGGUAUUUUCCGAAGUUAAACGUCAUCACGCUGGCAAUUACACAUGUUUAGCUAAGAAUGCAGGAGGUUCUGCAUCACACAGCGCUCUCUUGAUCGUAGACGUUCCUCCUCACUGGCUGAUAGAACCUGAAAAUGCAUCAGUUAUCUUAGGCCAAUCAAUAACAUUGGAUUGUAAAGCCGAAGGACUUCCUCCUCCGACUAUCGUCUGGAAAAAAAGUCAAGGAAUCAUGGCAAGGGAAUUCGAACCAGUAUAUAAUAGUUACAAUUACAUUCUCUAUGGAAACGGAUCACUAGGAAUUAGAGAAGUGGAAUCCGCAAACAGUGGUUACUAUCUAUGUCAAGCCAAUAACAACGUUGGUGCAGCUAUCAGCAAACUAGUAACAAUAACUGUUCACACUCCUCCCCAGUUUGAAACAGAGCACACAGUAGAAACAUUUCGCCUUCACUCUUCACUAGAACUUUUAUGUUCAGCCAGCGGAGAAUUACCUUUAGAAGUGACUUGGAGCAAAGAUGGAGUGACCAUAUCCAAUCGAACAGACGACACAUUUCGUUUCGGGUUUCAAGAAAUAAAUACUGGUAUUGAAGCUACUCUAAUUAAAUCUAAAGUUGUAGGAAACGAUUCUGGUUUAUAUGCUUGCACAGUAGGGAAUGCUUAUGGUGUUUCUGAAGCAACAUUUCAAGUUAUAGUGCAAGAGGCUCCAGCAUCACCUUCCAAUAUCGAAGUGGUAGCUAAAACAGGAAGGAGUUUAACCAUCUCGUGGCAAGAACCAUUUGGAGGACAUAGCGCAAUUACGGGAUACAUUGUUCUAUAUAAAAUAAAAGGAGGAGACAAGUGGCAAAAUAUCAGUAUAUCUGGAAUUUCCACUACAGCUACAAUAUCUGGCUUACAACCCGCUACGUAUUAUAUUUUGCGCGUUUUAGCAGAAAAUGCCAUAGGCAAAAGUAAUUUAAGUAAAAUUAUAACAACCUCAACGGACGAAGAAGUACCCGGAGGGCCGCCGCUACGAAUAAAAGCAUCACCUACAGGACCCAAUUCUAUUAAAGUAUCAUGGGAGCCUCCUAAUAAAUCACUGUGGAAUGGCAACAUCACAGGAUAUUUUAUUGGGUACAAAAUCCUUUCGUCUAACGAUCAAGCCUUGUUUAAAACCAUUAACCUGAGUUCGGGAAAAGAGUUAGAAGUUCAUCUGACUAAUUUAAGAAGAUCUACUAAAUAUUCUGUUUCCGUUCAGGCUUUUAAUGGGAAAGGAACUGGACCUCGAUCCGAUGAGUUGGUAGUUCAGACAUUAGCAGAUGUACCUCCAACUGCUCCAUUUCUUCACAUUGUGACAUCAACUACUUCAUCCAUUACUCUUAGCUGGUCUCAUAAAAGGACGUUUUCAAGUCCCGUAAAAGAGUGCGUCCUCCAUCACAAGAGGGAAUAUGGAGAAUGGAAAGAAACCAAAGUCAUCACUCAAACCAGUACUUAUACCAUUUCAAGCCUAGAUUGUGGCACCCGUUAUCAAUUCUUCAUGGUUUGCCACAAUAGCGUAGGAAGAAGUGAACCUAGUGAAAUUGUUCAGGCCACAACAUCUGGUGCAGCACCAGUAUCACCUUCUAAAGAAGAUUUUGUCCAACCGAAUUCGACUUCAUCCAUUCUUCACCUAUCCAGUUGGCAAAAUGGAGGAUGCCCUAUCAAAGAGUUCACACUCAAGCUCAAACCUAAAUAUAAAAGUCAGUGGUCAUCUUUGGAAACUAAAUUGCCGUCUGAUCAAUCAAAAUAUGUGAUACAGUCUUUAACUCCUGGAACUUGGUACUCAAUAAAAGUAACUGCCUAUAGCAGUGCAGGAGCCACUGAAGCCCAAUACGAGUUUCAGACUUCAAACGAAACGGAAGUUAUUGAAAUUCAUCAGCCUCAAUCCUCAGAACUCGCCCCGUUCUAUUUAGAGAUUACGUUUCUGAUCCCCGUUAUCACCUCAUCUGUUAUUGUUAUCAUUAUCAUUAUUGUUGGUUGCGUUUUAUGUAGGAGGCGAAAUUCGCACAGAAGCACGAUAAGCAGUGUUAUUUUACUUAUUGUAGAUGGUUCCGGAAGCUCAAAAUCUCGCCAAGGAGGUCUGGAAGCCAUGGCAUUGAAAGACAUAACUAACAACGGUUCAAAUCAACAGCCAAUAGGAAUCUCAGGAGAUGACGUCAGCCGUCCCGUAUCAUCCGUGUGGCAGGCACCAGAGAAGAAACACAUUGUUACGCCACACCGUAUGACACAAUACCCGAGAUGUCAGUGGGAGAUCAAACACCAAUAUCCAUCGUUCGGACAUUAAAUCGUCCAACAGUUCGAGACAAAAAAGGAGACAACUUGUACAUCACCAGGCAGCUCUUCCAAGAUCGACCGUAUGAGGCCUUGAAGGCUGACGUCCAACCACCGUUUCCCUUAUUUAGGGUGGAAGACGUCUGAUCCAUCGCCAAAAUGUUCUUUCUAAC
rnacentral:misc_RNA from 1 species